rnacentral:rRNA from 1 species
UACGAAGGGUGCAAACGUUGCUCGGAAUUAUUGGGCGUAAAGGGCGCGUAGGCGGCCUUCUAAGUCAGACGUGAAAUCCCCAGGCUUAACUUGGGAACUGCGUCUGAUACUGGGAGGCUUGAGUGCGGGAGAGGGAUGUGGAAUUCCAGGUGUAGCGGUGAAAUGCGUAGAUAUCUGGAGGAACACCGGUGGCGAGGGCGGCAUCCUGGACCGACACUGACGCUGAGGCGCGAAAGCUAGGGGAGCAAACGGG